rnacentral:rRNA from 1 species
GGGCCUCAAAACAGACAAGAGUACCCGCUGAACUUAA